rnacentral:rRNA from 1 species
CUAAGUCAACCUCAGCACUAACCUUGCGAGUCAUUUCUUUGAUUUGGUCAUUGGUAAAAUACUGACCAGCCGUUUGAGCUUGAGUAAGCAUUUGGCGCAUAAUCUCGGAAACCUGCUGUUGCUUGGAAAGAUUGGUGUUUUCCAUAAUAGACGCAACGCGAGCAGUAGACUCCUUCUGUUGAUAAGCAAGCAUCUCAUUUUGUGCAUAUACCUGGUCUUUCGUAUUCUGGCGUGAAGUCGCCGACUGAAUGCCAGCAAUCUCUUUUUGAGUCUCAUUUUGCAUCUCGGCAAUCUCUUUCUGAUUGUCCAGUUGCAUUUUAGUAAGCUCUUUUUGAUU